CCCCUUGCUCAGCAUUUUUCGCCCUUAAACUAGAGCCGUCCAGAGUGCGGCGUCGCCAGGUUUGGAAAUGUGUGUUUCAGCUUACGAGCUUUAUUGAAGCACACUGUCAUGUUAGAAAGCCCCUCGUGGCAAAGAAGGGAGGCCUCCAACCAACAGCCAGUGAAGCACUGAAUCCUGCCAACACCAUGUGGAUAUGAUACUCUGGAACUUCUGAACCUAGGCCUUAAAGAGCUGGUAACUUCUGCUUCCUUUUUCUUGGAAUACUUCUUAUUAGAACCCAAUUACUAUGCUGGGAGAAACCCAAGCCACAUGGAGAAAUCAUAUGGAAUGCAGCCAAGACACUCAAGUUGAUAGCCUUAACUGAGCUUACAUCAACUCCCAGCCAUGUGAGUGAACCAAAGGGCCCAUUUUUUUAUUGGACUUUGAGACAGCCUCUGUGCAUUACAGUUCCCAUUUGUUUCAUACCUGGACACUUGUUCUUUACUUUGGGGUGACCUGGCCCUGUAUCAUGCCUUGACCCACCCAUAAAAUAAACCAUAAGUUCCCACAAGUUAGGACAAGUAGUUAAACCUAUUUGGAAUCCAUUUAUCUCACCUAGUGUGCAUAGGAGAGGAGAACUAGUAAGGAGAAAAUUGGAGCAGUCACCCCACUUUCUGCCAGUUAGAUGCCACCAGCAUUUGGAAAGGAAAGUCAGCAUGCAGUCAUCCACCAAAGGAUAAAU